rnacentral:rRNA from 1 species
GACGAACGCUGGCGGCGUGCUUAACGCAUGCAAGUCGAACGGAAAGGCCCUGCUUUUGUGGGGUGCUCGAGUGACGAACGGGUGAGUAACACGUGAGUAACCUGCCCUUGACUUUGGGAUAACUUCAGGAAACUGGGGCUAAUACCGGAUAGGAGCUCCUGCUGCAUGGUGGGGGUUGGAAAGUUUCGGCGGUUGGGGAUGGACUCGCGGCUUAUCAGCUUGUUGGUGGGGUAGUGGCUUACCAAGGCUUUGACGGGUAGCCGGCCUGAGAGGGUGACCGGCCACAUUGGGACUGAGAUACGGCCCAGACUCCUACGGGAGGAAGCAGUGGGGAAUAUUGCACAAUGGGCGGAAGCCUGAUGCAGCAACGCCGCGUGCGGGAUGACGGCCUUCGGGUUGUAAACCGCUUUCGCCUGUGACGAAGCGUGAGUGACGGUAAUGGGUAAAGAAGCACCGGCUAACUACGUG